rnacentral:rRNA from 1 species
GUCCACACCGUAAACGAUGCUAACUGGAUUUUCGAACAAUAGGUUUGGAGAGUCUGAGGGAAACCAUUAAGUUAGCCACCUGGGGAGUACGCCGGCAACGGUGAAACUCAAAGGAAUUGACGGGGUCCGCACAAGCGGUGGAGCAUGUGGUUUAAUUCGAUGAUACGCGAGGAACCUUACCUGGGCUCGAAUGGUAAUAGAAGUUAGCUGAAAGGUUAAUGUCCGCAAGGACUGUUAUCAAGGUGCUGCAUGGUUGUCGU